CCUCGCGCCAAGCAUAGAUAGAGCCUCUCAAGCCACUUGGCAAUUAGCAGGGCCUCACCAGUCACCAAAAAACACCAAGCCUAAUCGUUUCGCCUUACGGCUUAGCGAGCAAGCCAGUACAAGACCCAUGGGUACAAAUAAUAAUUGCAAUCUUUAUUGUUAUUUAAGUAUUUCUCAAAAAGAUGGUGAAGAAUCACCUCUUCCUGGCACCUCGGCUAGAAGUGAUACACCUUCAAGCAGAGGAGAUGUGGCUCCGACCUAAGGAGGCGACAAAUCCCCUACCUUGCCACAGCAAGGAAAGCAGAGUUAUUCAAACUCCUCCAUACAUCAACG